AUUGAACGCUGGCGGCGUGCCUAAUACAUGCAAGUCGAACGCAGUGGGGACGGGUGAGUAACACGUGGCUAACCUCCCAUCAGAGGGGAUAACACUUGGAAACAGGUGCUAAACCGAUACUGAUGGAUGGACCCGCGGUGCAUUAGCUAGUUGGUGAGGUAACGGCUCACCAAGGCCACGAUGCAUAGCCGACCUAUAGGGGUGAUCGGCAACACUGGGACGGAGAGACGGCCCAGAAUCCUACGUGAGGCAGAAGUAGGGAAUCUUAGGCAAUGGACGAGAGUCUGACCGAGCAACGCCGAGUGAGUGAAGAAAGUUUUCGGAUCGUAAAACUCUGUUGUUAGAGAAGCGGUAUAUAACCAGAAAGCCAGGGCUAACUACGGGCCAGCAGCCGCGGUAAUUC
rnacentral:rRNA from 1 species